rnacentral:rRNA from 1 species
AGUUUGAUCCUGGCUCAGGAUGAACGCUAGCUACAGGCUUAACACAUGCAAGUCGAGGGGCAGCAUUUUAGUUUGCUUGCAAACUGAAGAUGGCGACCGGCGCGCGGGUGAGUAACACGUAUCCAACCUGCCGAUAACUCCGGAAUAGCCUUUCGAAAGAAAGAUUAAUACCGGAUAGCAUACGAAUAUCGCAUGAUAUUUUUAUUAAAGAAUUUCGGUUAUCGAUGGGGAUGCGUUCCAUUAGUUUGUUGGCGGGGUAACGGCCCACCAAGACUACGAUGGAUAGGGGUUCUGAGAGGAAGGUCCCCCACAUUGGAACUGAGACACGGUCCAAACUCCUACGGGAGGCAGCAGUGAGGAAUAUUGGUCAAUGGGCGAGAGCCUGAACCAGCCAAGUAGCGUGAAGGAUGAAGGCUCUAUGGGUCGUAAACUUCUUUUAUAUGGGAAUAAAGUUUUCCACGUGUGGAAUUUUGUAUGUACCAUAUGAAUAAGGAUCGGCUAACUCCGUGCCAGCAGCCGCGGUAAUACGGAGGAUCCGAGCGUUAUCCGGAUUUAUUGGGUUUAAAGGGAGCGUAGGUGGAUUGUUAAGUCAGUUGUGAAAGUUUGCGGCUCAACCGUAAAAUUGCAGUUGAAACUGGCAGUCUUGAGUACAGUAGAGGUGGGCGGAAUUCGUGGUGUAGCGGUGAAAUGCUUAGAUAUCACGAAGAACUCCGAUUGCGAAGGCAGCUCACUAGACUGUUACUGACACUGAUGCUCGAAAGUGUGGGUAUCAAACAGGAUUAGAUACCCUGGUAGUCCACACAGUAAACGAUGAAUACUCGCUGUUUGCGAUAUACAGUAAGCGGCCAAGCGAAAGCAUUAAGUAUUCCACCUGGGGAGUACGCCGGCAACGGUGAAACUCAAAGGAAUUGACGGGGGCCCGCACAAGCGGAGGAACAUGUGGUUUAAUUCGAUGAUACGCGAGGAACCUUACCCGGGCUUAAAUUGCAACAGAAUAUAUUGGAAACAGUAUAGCCGUAAGGCUGUUGUGAAGGUGCUGCAUGGUUGUCGUCAGCUCGUGCCGUGAGGUGUCGGCUUAAGUGCCAUAACGAGCGCAACCCUUAUCUUUAGUUACUAACAGGUCAUGCUGAGGACUCUAGAGAGACUGCCGUCGUAAGAUGUGAGGAAGGUGGAAGGGCGAAUUCC